UACGAAGGGGGCUAGCGUUGUUCGGAAUUACUGGGCGUAAAGGGCGCGUAGGCGGUGUGUCAAGUCAGGCGUGAAAGCCCCGGGCUCAACCUGGGAACCGCGCUUGAGACUGGCACGCUCGAGUUCGGGAGAGGAUGGUGGAAUUCCCAGUGUAGAGGUGAAAUUCGUAGAUAUUGGGAAGAACACCGAUGGCGAAGGCAGGUCUCUGGGCUGACACUGACGCUCAUGCACGAA
rnacentral:rRNA from 1 species